UACGGGGGGGAGCAAGCGUUGUUCGGAUUUACUGGGCGUAAAGGGCGCGUAGGCGGUCAGCACAAGUCAGUUGUGAAAUCUCCGGGCUUAACCCGGAAAGGUCAACUGAUACUGUGCGACUAGAGUGCGGAAGGGGCAACUGGGAAUUCUCGGUGUAGCGGUGAAAUGACGUAGAUAUCGAGAGGAACACCUGCGGCGAAGGCGGGUUGCUGGGCUGACACUGACGCUGAUGCGCGAAAGCCAGGGGAGCGAACGGG
rnacentral:rRNA from 1 species